rnacentral:rRNA from 1 species
UACGUAGGGGGCAAGCGUUGUCCGGAGUUACUGGGCGUAAAGCGCACGCAGGCGGUCUCUUAAGUUUGGAGUGACAGUUGGUGGCUUAACUGCCAAAGUGCUUCGAAAACUGAGAGACUUGAGGGCUUCAGAGGGACACGGAAUUCCCGGUGUAGUGGUGAAAUGCGUAGAGAUCGGGAGGAACACCUGUGGCGAAGGCGGCCCCCUGGGCCGGCCCUGACACUGAGACGCGAAGGCGUGGGGAGCGAACGGG